rnacentral:rRNA from 1 species
GACGAACGCUGGCGGCGUGCUUAACACAUGCAAGUCGAACGAGAAGAGAUGAGAAGCUUGCUUCUUAUUGAUUCGAGUGGCAAACGGGUGAGUAACGCGUGAGGAACCUGCCUUUCAGAGGGGGACAACAGUUGGAAACGACUGCUAAUACCGCAUAACACAUCGGAGUCGCAUGGCUCUGAUGUCAAAGAUUUAUCGCUGAAAGAUGGCCUCGCGUCUGAUUAGCUAGUUGGUGAGGUAACGGCUCACCAAGCCGACGAUCGGUAGCCGGACUGAGAGGUUGAACGGCCACAUUGGGACUGAGACACGGCCCAGACUCCUACGGGAGGCAGCAGUGGGGAAUAUUGCACAAUGGGGGAAACCCUGAUGCAGCGACGCCGCGUGAAGGAAGAAGGUCUUCGGAUCGUAAACUCCUGUUGUUGAGGAAGAUAAUGACGGUACUCAACAAGGAAGUGGCGGCUAACUACGUG